GUAGGGUGCAAGCGUUAAUCGGAAUUACUGGGCGUAAAGCGUGCGCAGGCGGUUUUGUAAGUCUGUCGUGAAAGCCCCGGGCUCAACCUGGGAAUUGCGAUGGAGACUGCAAGGCUUGAAUCUGGCAGAGGGGGGUAGAAUUCCACGUGUAGCAGUGAAAUGCGUAGAGAUGUGGAGGAACACCGAUGGCGAAGGCAGCCCCCUGGGUCAAGAUUGACGCUCAUGCACGAAAGCGUGGGGGGAGCAAACAGGAUUAGAUACCCUGGUAGUCCACGCCCUAAACGAUGUCUACUAGUUGUCGGGUUUUUAAUUAACUUGGUAACGCAGCUAACGCGUGAAGUAGACCGCCUGGGGAGUACGGUCGCAAGAUUA
rnacentral:rRNA from 1 species